CCAGCAGGACUCUGAUCACAUCCUCCUGAGCCUCGAGCCCCGUUAGGUCUCAGAGGAAUUAUUAUCACUUUCCAAACACAGGGGACAAUGAACCGGCCUGGCUCUUCCUGGAAUGUAGGAGUGGGAGCCUGGCAGACAGAUUCUCUCCAGAUUGAAUAAAUGCUGGGGGGCCUGAGGGCGGGGGGGAGAGGUUCACAGUCCCCGGGAAGCAUCCGUCCCUUUUUAAGCAAUGGCUGUGCACACCGACUUUGGCUCCCAACCUCUGUGAUAUUUCUCCCUUAUAAAUUGGACAGCACAGCAUGCAGUCAAGGAGCCAUUACAAGCCCUCUCAAACUAGAUUUUUUUUUCCCAGGGACUUAAUUUCUUAAAAUGUUGGAGCCAUCGUUCUCUUGGAAAGUAGGACAGUCUCUCUUUGAGCCUGCCAGACAAAAACAAAACUAAACAAAACAAAAAAAGCAAAGUCUCCGAAAGGAUCACUGGCAGGCAGGCUUCCUUCACAGCACCUGGAGGCCCCUCCCUCCCAAGCUGAGGCUGCGAGAUCUCUCUAAUGAGAACAGAUGGCUCUCGUUGGGAGAUGGGCUCCAUGUUCUGUGUCUCCUGUGUCCUCUUUCUGAAAUGAGAUUUUGGCAGAUUUUUUUUUUUUUUUUUUACAGAGAAUUGGAGCCCGUUGUUUAAGUGGUAACCUAGAUGAGUGCCAGGGAAGUGGGAUGUUAAUACACACUAAUACGUUUGCAGCUAACUUUGGAAAGUUCAAAACAUUUCCUAAUGGAAAAGGUGAAGUCUUCAAAAGGCCUUGCUUCUGGGAUGGAGGCAAAGGGCGCCAUGAGCACCCAGAAGGAGGUGACUAUUGUCUCAGGAACCCAUUAAGAGAGAAAGGAGAGAUUUUCAAGGUGAGAAACGAGAAAUGAUGAGGGGAAGAGGGUACCCUGUGGAGCAGACUGAAAAAAGAAAAUUGUUUCUGGAGUUAGCUGCCGUGGAGGUGUGUGAAAAGGAAAGAGUAACAGCACCAGGAGUGCACUUGGCACCUACAUCCUAUGAAUCAUCACAUCCACACUGCCAUAUUCAUUCCCCCCAUGUCACUCAGCAAAGACAUGAAGGCCAAAAAAAAAGUCCCAGGUCAUCAAGCCCUUGGUGAAGCUGGACAGAUUCAAGAGGAAAACCGCAUGUCUGGUCUCUUGACCACCUGGGCCAUCUCAGUCUCAGCUUAACAAUGGGCAUGGGGGAUCUGAUCAGGGUUCUUGGCUAGGGUCACCUGCCCCCUGGGCAUCCACUUAACAUAAAGUGGCAAUUCAGAAUCCCCAUCAGGAUCGCCAGGAAGCCAUCCAGUCCACUGUAUAUUCACAAAGCGCCAGGACAUGGGAAGAUAAAGAGGACCGCUUGCUGCCAUGUAGCUCUUCCAGCCGUUGGCCAUGUGAAGGACAAGAUGAUGGCAUGAUGCCAAAUAGCUGCUACUGGGUGAGCUGAUGUGAAAGAACCAAGAAAAACAUGAUCAGGCAAAGCCCACCAGCUUAUAUCACUGUUGGAAACACCCAUACCUUUUGCCUCAUUAACACUAUUCCAAGAAAUUUAUUCUACAGAAAUACUUCAUAUGUAUGAAAGUAUUUGUAAAAAAUAUUGAUCACAACAACAUUUGCUUUAAAAAAAAAAAAAGAAAGAAAUCACAAUUUUAAUGUCAAGUAAUGGGAAACUGGACAUAAUAUGAAAUAUUAUCAAGGAAUAACUGCUACUGCUAAGUCACUUCAGUAGUGUCCGACUCUGUGCGACCCCAUAGAC